GUGGGGAAUUUUGGACAAUGGGCGCAAGCCUGAUCCAGCAAUGCCGCGUGCAGGAAGAAGGCCUUCGGGUUGUAAACUGCUUUUGUACGGAACGAAAAGGCUCUGGUUAAUACCUGGGGCUCAUGACGGUACCGUAAGAAUAAGCACCGGCUAACUACGUGCCAGCAGCCGCGGUAAUACGUAGGGUGCAAGCGUUAAUCGGAAUUACUGGGCGUAAAGCGUGCGCAGGCGGUUUUGUAAGACAGGCGUGAAAUCCCCGGGCUCAACCUGGGAAUGGCGCUUGUGACUGCAAGGCUGGAGUGCGGCAGAGGGGGAUGGAAUUCCGCGUGUAGCAGUGAAAUGCGUAGAUAUGCGGAGGAACACCGAUGGCGAAGGCAAUCCCCUGGGCCUGCACUGACGCUCAUGCACGAAAGCGUGGGGAGCAAACAGGAUUAGAAACCCCGGUAGUCC
rnacentral:rRNA from 1 species